GGAGGGAUAGCACGUAAUUGGAAGCGUCACAGUCUUCUAAACUGUUGCCGUAUGGCCUUCAGGGUUCGAAUCCCUGUCCCUUCA
rnacentral:tRNA from 1 species